rnacentral:tRNA from 1 species
GACCGGCGUAGCUCAGUUGGCAGAGCAUUGGGCUAGUAUUCCAAAGGUCGUUGGUUCGAUUCCCACCGCGGCCA